rnacentral:lncRNA from 1 species
GGGUGACAAGAAGACUUCCGAGCCCAAAGCCAUGCCAGACCUUAACGGGAUCCUUUCCCAGAGCCCUCCAUGGAGAAAACAGCAAAAUGAAGCCCUUACCUGCUUGCUGUCUGCAAGGGAGGGAGCCGAGCCCCAGCUGAUAAUCCCCCAGCACUCACCCUUCCUGAGCUGAGACUUCGGGGCUGUGGAGACCAGCACAGGACAUAGUGGUGCUUUUUAAAUUUAUUUUUAACUGUUUCUCAUAUGUAGCAACCCCUCCUCCCCUCCUGGGCAUGUUUACACAGGCUCUGCUCUGGGGGCUGGCCUGGCUGUGAGGUUUCUGGGGAGGCAGAGAGGCAGGGACUUUGGGGCCUUAGUCACCAUCCAUGGUAUCACCUCAUCUCACUUCCUGUGAGGGACAGGGCCUGGCUGAUGUGAUCCCAGCUCCCCCCAGUUCAGGACUGUCUUUCAGCUCCUUUGCCCCUGGAGGUGGGGGCUGCUGGCUGAGGAGGGGUCAAGGUGAGUUCAAGAAAGCUACCUGUGGAAAAUGGACCAGGUUGGGGGGGUGAUUGCAAAGUCUCCCCAAAGCCUGGCUCCUCAUGCUCAGUGCCAGGGGCAGAACACUGGGGAGCCAGGUAUAGAGAGCCUUCCUGUCAUAACUGCCAGUCCUCUUCCUCCAAGGCCUCUGCAUAUUCUCAUGUUCCCCUCACCCAUCAUGCCAGCCACCCCUAUCCCUCUUCUAGCAGGGCCAAGAUGGGGACAGCAGCAGCCCUCUGGCCUUGGGAUGUGAUGAUAAAGCAAGCCUAGGGCCAGGGUUUGGGGAGCAGAGAGAGCCAAGAAGUUGACCACGUGUGAUUUCCAGCCCUUCCCACUGGGACUUGACUUCCCAGGUCAAGGAGUCCGUCUCAUUCUGGCUGGUCGAGUGACCAGAGGCCUGUGUGAAUGUGUGCACCUGCUUUUCCUGCCUGGAAUGUUUUCUGGCUCAGCUGCAGCAACAUCUGUGAGCCCAGUGUCUGCCCUGUGUCCCUGGGCUCGCUCCAAGUGCAGGAACAUACAUGCAGGGCCCAACAUGAUGAUGGUGUGAAGGGCAGGAAACAGUCCUCUGAAGGAGUGGGGAGGUGGGCAGUCUGCCCCCGCCAGGUACCAUCGCCUCCUGCCAGCUUCCUUAGACCAGGCAGGGCUGCCAUGGUGCUAGCUGCAAGUCCAUCAGUAUUGACCGUCUCGCUCCAUCUUGGUCCUCCGGAGUCCCAAGUUUCCUUUUCAUCAAAUCUGACAAGAGAGAAGAAACAUGGGUGUGCUUGGCCCACAGGGCCUGGUGGUGAUGGACCUCCCCGCUCCCUCAAGCUCUGGAUGGCUGCAGUGUUGUACUAGACUUUGUUCAGGCUGUUCUCAUCUCAGUAUUGCCCCUUCCUUUCACUUUCACACUUCAUCUCAUUCCUGUUGUCACUUUCCCCGAAACGAAUAAAGUCUCCCCAGCUCCUGCUGUGUAGGCUGGGCAGAAAC